rnacentral:rRNA from 1 species
UACGGAGGGUGCAAACGUUGCUCGGAAUCAUUGGGCGUAAAGCGCACGUAGGCGGCUUGUUAAGUCGGAUGUGAAAGCCCUCGGCUCAACCGAGGAAGUGCAUACGAAACUGGCGAGCUUGAAUAUGGAAGAGGGUCGCGGAAUUCCCGGUGUAGAGGUGAAAUUCGUAGAUAUCGGGAGGAACACCAGUGGCGAAGGCGGCGACCUGGGCCAAUAUUGACGCUGAGGUGCGAAAGCGUGGGGAGCAAACAGG